rnacentral:rRNA from 1 species
UGAAUGGGGCAACCCACUAUAUUGAAGGUAUAGUAUCCCGUAAGGGAAGUGAACCAGGUGAACUGAAACAUCUAAGUAGCCGGAGGAAGAGAAAACAAAAGUGAUUCCGGGAGUAGUGGCGAGCGAAACCGGAUUAGCCCAAACCAGUGUUGUUUCGGCAAUACUGGGGUUGUAGGACCACGACAUUGAUUGCGUAAUGAAUUAGAACACUUUGGAAAGAGUGACCGAAGAGGGUGAUAGUCCCGUACAAGUAAAGAGCGUUAAUUAUAGUGGUAUCCUGAGUAGUGCGGGGCGCGAAAAACCCUGUAUGAAUCAACCCGGG